GACGAACGCUGGCGGCGCGCCUAACACAUGCAAGUCGAACGGAGUCAAGAGGAGCUUGCUUUUCUUGACUUAGUGGCGAACGGGUGAGUAACGCGUGAGUAACCUGCCCUGGAGUGGGGGACAACAGUUGGAAACGGCUGCUAAUACCGCAUAAGCCCACGGAUCCGCAUGGAUCUGCGGGAAAAGGAUUUAUUCGCUUCAGGAUGGACUCGCGUCCAAUUAGCUAGUUGGUGAGGUAACGGCCCACCAAGGCGACGAUUGGUAGCCGGACUGAGAGGUUGAACGGCCACAUUGGGACUGAGACACGGCCCAGACUCCUACGGGAGGCAGCAGUGGGGGAUAUUGCACAAUGGGGGAAACCCUGAUGCAGCGACGCCGCGUGGAGGAAGAAGGUUUUCGGAUUGUAAACUCCUGUCGUUAGGGACGAUAAUGACGGUACCUAACAAGAAAGCACCGGCUAACUACGUG
rnacentral:rRNA from 1 species